GGAGUCGGCCGAACAGUCGCUGCACCGCUGGUGUGGAGGAAAGUCCGGGCUUCACAGGGCAGGGUGCCAGGUAAUGCCUGGGAGGCGCGAGCCUACGGAAAGUGCCACAGAAAAUAUACCGCCAGCGGUUUUCGACUGCUGGUAAGGGUGAAAAGGUGCGGUAAGAGCGCACCGCGUCGCGGGUAACCGUCGGCGGCAUGGUAAACCCCACCCGAAGCAAGGCCAAAUAGGGAUGCAUUGGCGUGGCCCGCGUCGCAUCCGGGUAGGCCGCUCGAGGCGGUUGGUGACAGCCGUCCCAGAUGAAUGACUGUUCUCGACAAAACCCGGCUUACAGGCCGACUCCUUUU
rnacentral:RNase_P_RNA from 1 species